rnacentral:rRNA from 1 species
GACGAACGCUGGCGGCGUGCUUAACACAUGCAAGUCGAACGGUAAGGCCCUUCGGGGUCCACGAGUGGCGAACGGGUGAGUAACACGUGGGUAAUCUGCCCUGCACAUCGGGAUAAGCCUGGGAAACUGGGUCUAAUACCGAAUAGGACCACAGGACACAUGUCCUGUGGUGGCAAGCUUUUGCGGUGUGGGAUGGGCCCGCGGCCUAUCAGCUUGUUGGUGGGGUGAUGGCCUACCAAGGCGACGACGGGUAGCCGGCCUGAGAGGGUGUCCGGCCACACGGGGACUGAGAUACGGCCCAGACUCCUACGGGAGGCAGCAGUGGGGAAUAUUGCACAAUGGGCGAAAGCCUGAUGCAGCGACGCCGCGGGGGGGAUGACGGCCGUCGGGUUGUAAACCUCUUUCACCAACGACGAAGGUCCGGGUGUUCUCGGGCUGACGGUAGGUGGAGAAGAAGCACCGGCCAACUACGUG